rnacentral:lncRNA from 1 species
GCAUAUGCUGCUCUAAUCAGUUGGAAUAUUUGUCUCUUUGCUAAAGCAUGUUUGCAUUUUAGUGGAGAAAACACCAAGCCUUUUUCAAGUCUCACAAGUUAUCCAGAACUACGUAGGUCUGAGUUCCUCAUUUGAGGAUACGUAGGAGCAGAAGCCUUGCUUUUGUCGACCACACCGCUUUUUGUUACCAUGGCCCAAGAGCUGGUAGCCCGCGGAGACACCUUACGGUUAUCUGCACCUCGUCAUUCAGUGACCCCAAGUGUGAUUGAUAGCACGCAGAGACUAACGUCGUCAUCUGCGCCCUUUCCGGAGAUGCCAGCAUCUUCCGGUGGAGACUUUUUCAAGUCUCACAAGUUAUCAAGAACUACAUAGGUCUGAGUUCCUCAUUAGAGGAUACGUAGGAGCAAGAGCCUCGCUUUUGUCGGCCACUUUCACAAGUUCUGUCAUGCUGACACAGGAGUCACAUGACAUGCGGAGAUACCUAAGUGGUUGUCCGCACUUUCAAAACUUUCUGUGCUAUCUGUAAGACGAAAAGCCUGAUAGCACGCAGAGACUAACGUCGUCAUCUGCGCCCUUUCCGGAGAUGUCAGCAUCUUCCGGUGGAGACUUUUUCAAGUCUCACAAGUUAUCAAGAACUACGUAGGUCUGAUUUCCUCAUCGCAAUUGAGGAUACGUAUGAGCAAAAGCCCCGCUUUUGUUGACCACCCCA